GACGUAGGGCGCGAGCGUUGUCCGGAUUUAUUGGGCGUAAAGAGCUCGUAGGCGGCUUGUCGCGUCGUCUGUGAAAUCCCGCGGCUCAACCGCGGGUCUGCAGUCGAUACGGGCAGGCUAGAGUUCGGUAGGGGAGAAUGGAAUUCCUGGUGUAGCGGUGAAAUGCGCAGAUAUCAGGAAGAACACCCGUGGCUAAGGCGGUUCUCUAGUACGGUACUGACGCUGAGACGCGAAAGCGUGGGGAGCGAACAGG
rnacentral:rRNA from 1 species